GGUUCCAUCUCUGCACAAUGUCUCGGAUUCUUAAAGCAGUCAAUGUGACUCACGAGCUCACGACUGACACAAACUGCUUGCUCUCCCCAUGAAACCUGCGCCAAAGCUUUGCUUCCUUUGAGUCAGUUACCAAAGCGGUCACAUGGUUGUGUGUACCGAAUGAAGCUUCGGACGUCAUUGAUCACGUGUUUAUGGCAGAAACUAAUCAAGCCUCGGCACACUGUUUCUAGUGUCGUCUUUUUCUGGACACACGCUCCUGAGCUUCAGUAUCAAGGGCUAAUCUGGGUUGGAAGCCACUUGUGGUCCAGUCUGGUCUGAUGUGUUCCCGUCUCCUUAGAUAGGGGGCGCUGUUUUCUAAAAUGAGUCUCUCAGAGGAGCCAGAGACCAAAAGAGGAACCCUCAGCACUGAGAGGAAGAGGGUUAAAGUAGAAAGAGCAGGGUCACCUGUACCCAGCUGUCUGUCUAUGAAGAGUGAUCGUUCAAUGGAUCAGCCAAUCAAGUUCAGAGGAGAGUUCACAGAUGAUCAAAGGGUCCAGGUAGAAAGAGCAGGGUCACCUGUACCCAGCUGUCUGUCUAUGAGGAGUGAUCGUUCAAUGGAUCAGCCAAUCAAGUUCAGAGGAGAGUUACCAGGUGAUUCAAGGGUUAAAGUAGAAAGAGCAGGGUCACCUGUACCCAGCUGUCUGUCUAUGAGGAGUGAUCGUUCAAUGGAUCAGCCAAUCAAGUUCAGAGGAGAGUUACCAGGUGAUUCAAGGGUUAAAGUAGAAAGAGCAGGGUCACCUGUACCCAGCUGUCUGUCUAUGAAGAGUGAUCGUUCAAUGGAUCAGCCAAUCAAGCUCAGAAGAGAGUUCACAGAUGAUCAAAGGUAAUAAAACAGGUUCAAAUAGACAUUCCUAUGUAAUAAUACUUCAAUGUUUCUGAAAGGUUUCAGAAGUAGGUGGGUGUAUUGUGACCCAUUCAGGUGUAGAUGAGGUGUAUUAUGUCAUGUUCCUGUAUUCUGUGAUUUAGAGCUGCAGUAAGAGGACGAGUUUAACUAGAAGCUUUCUCCAAGCGCUGUGAGUUAGAGCUGCAGUAAGAGGAUGAGUUUAACUGGAAGAUCUGUCUCCAAGUGCUGUGAGUUAGAGCUGCAGUAAGAGGAUGAGUUUAAAGUGGGCUGUAUACUUCGUAAGAAGUAGAACUUUUUGAGCAAAACGAAGCAAUGAGAACAAUUGAAGAACAAAAAGAGGUGAUGUUGCAUGUUCGUACGUUGCAGUGUGUGACGACCUCCACGGUGAACUUUUGGAAAACUUCUUUCUUGUUCUCCGACCUCCCCCUCUCAGCUAUUGGUCCAAAUAUCAAAUGGUUG